rnacentral:rRNA from 1 species
GAUGAACGCUAGCGAUAGGCUUAACACAUGCAAGUCGAGGGGCAGCACAAGGUAGCUUGCUAUCUGGGUGGCGACCGGCGCACGGGUGCGUAACGCGUAUGCAACUUGCCCUAUACAGGAGGAUAACCCGUCGAAAGACGGACUAAUACUGCGUAUGCUCACAACUUGGCAUCAAGUGGUGAGGAAAGAAAUUCGGUAUAGGAUAGGCAUGCGUCCCAUUAGCUUGUUGGUGAGGUAACGGCUCACCAAGGCAACGAUGGGUAGGGGAACUGAGAGGUUUAUCCCCCACACUGGUACUGAGACACGGACCAGACUCCUACGGGAGGCAGCAGUGAAGAAUAUUGGUCAAUGGGCGCGAGCCUGAACCAGCCAAGUCGCGUGAAGGAUGACUGUCUUAUGGAUUGUAAACUUCUUUUAUACGGGAAUAACAAGAGUCACGUGUGACUCCCUGCAUGUACCGUAUGAAUAAGCAUCGGCUAACUCCGUG